AGCCCUCGGCAAACUGCUCAGUAACGCGUGAGUAAUCUACCCUCAGAUUGAGGAUAACCCCGGAAAACUGGGGAUAAUACUCAAUAGGUAAAGAGGUCUGGAAGGAUUCUUUACCCAAAGCUACGGCGUCUGAGGAUGAGCUUACAUCCGAUUAGGUUGUUGGCGGUGUAACGGACCACCAAGCCUUCGAUCGGUACGGGCACUGAGAGGUGUAGCCCGGAGAUGGGGACUGAGACACGGCCCCAGGCCCUACGGGGCGCAGCAGGCGCGAAAACUCCGCAAUGCUCGAAAGAGUGACGGGGGGACCCCAAGUGCCUAGUCUUCGGAUUAGGCUUUUUUAGAGUCUAGAAAACUCUAAGAAUAAGAGCUGGGUAAGACCGGUGCCAGCCGCCGCGGUAACACCGGCAGCUCGAGUGGUGGCCACUUUUAUUGGGCCUAAAGCGUUCGUAGCCGGYCUGGUAAGUCUUUGGGUAAAUCCUAUCGCUUAACGUUAGGAAUUCUGAAGAUACUGCCAGACUUGAGGUCGAGAGAAGUCUGAGGUACUCUUGGGGUAGGAG
rnacentral:rRNA from 1 species